UCAUAUAGCCAUAUCACCCUGCAGCCCAAGACUGGUUGCCCACUGAAGCAGGGUUGAGCCUGGUCAGUACCUGGAUGGGAGACCUCCUGGGAAAACUAGGUUGCUGCUGGAA
rnacentral:rRNA from 1 species